AGUGCGUUGGCACAGUGGUUAGCGCUGUUGUCAUGCAAAAAAUAGGUUACGGGUUCGAGUUCUCCCCAUGUUUGCAUGG
rnacentral:tRNA from 1 species